rnacentral:rRNA from 1 species
ACGGGUGAGUAACGCGUGGGAACAUACCUCUUGGUUCGGAACAACACAGGGAAACUUGUGCUAAUACCGGAUAAGCCCUUACGGGGAAAGAUUUAUCGCCGAGAGAUUGGCCCGCGUCUGAUUAGCUAGUUGGUAGGGUAAUGGCCUACCAAGGCGACGAUCAGUAGCUGGUCUGAGAGGAUGAUCAGCCACAUUGGGACUGAGACACGGCCCAAACUCCUACGGGAGGCAGCAGUGGGGAAUAUUGGACAAUGGGCGCAAGCCUGACCCAGCCAUGCCGCGUGAGUGAUGAAGGCCCUAGGGUUGUAAAGCUCUUUUGUACGGGAAGAUAAUGACGGUACCGUAAGAAUAAGCCCCGGCUAACUUCGUGCCAGCAGCCGCGGUAAUACGAAGGGGGCUAGCGUUGCUCGGAAUCACUGGGCGUAAAGGGUGCGUAGGCGGGUUUUUAAGUCAGAGGUGAAAUCCUGGAGCUCAACUCCAGAACUGCCUUUGAUACUGAAAGUCUUGAGUAUGGGAGAGGUGAGUGGAACUGCGAGUGUAGAGGUGAAAUUCGUAGA